rnacentral:rRNA from 1 species
AUUGAACGCUGGCGGCAGGCCUAACACAUGCAAGUCGAGCGGAUGAAGGGAGCUUGCUCCUGGAUUCAGCGGCGGACGGGUGAGUAAUGCCUAGGAAUCUGCCUGGUAGUGGGUGAUAACGUCCGGAAACGGGCGCUAAUACCGCAUACGUCCUGAGGGAGAAAGUGGGGGAUCUUCGGACCUCACGCUAUCAGAUGAUCCUAGGUCGGAUUAGCUAGUUGGUGGGGUAAAGGCCUACCAAGGCGACGAUCCGUAACUGGUCUGAGAGGAUGAUCAGUCACACUGGAACUGAGACACGGUCCAGACUCCUACGGGAGGCAGCAGUGGGGAAGAUUGGACAAUGGGCGAAAGCCUGAUCCAGCCAUGCCGCGUGUGUGAAGAAGGUCUUCGGAUUGUAAAGCACUUUAAGUUGGGAGGAAGGGCAGUAAGUUAAUACCUUGCUGUUUUGACGUUACCAACAGAAUAAGCACCGGCUAACUUCGUG